AAAGUAGUCCCGCGCGCCCUCUGCCCUGACGCGGUGUGCGCGAGGUCCCCGAGUGAAAGGUUUUCAGGGGAUAAACCCUGACGGGGUCUGUGGCGGUCCUUGCCCAGCGCCUUCCACAUGUGGAGCGGGGCAGUGGUGCUAGUUCUGCCUCCAACUCUGGACGGUUGAGUUCAGGGCCACUUUUUACGCAGGCACGGAUGUGACAGAAACAUGGAGAAGGGUCUUGGAAGAACCACAUGUGCCGUAUAACGAACGACCUCUUGGUCUGAGGAGGACCGUGUAUAUGACGGUGGUCCCAUAAGAUGAUAACGGAGCUGGAAACUUCCUGUCCUCUGGUAGGCGGUACCAGUACAAACUGUUGCUGGAGUUUAUGGGAGCCCUAAGCGAGACCCCUCUUGCAUUUUGAAUCUCCUUGGCUUAGGUGAGAUUCAUACAUUGUUCAAAUGACCUGAUAUCAUACUCAAUGGGGCUGGAAUUGAAGUUCUACUUUAAAGCUUUAAGCUUUUGGUCACCUAAGAGGAGAAUACAAAUUAUAGGUGAUCAGCCAUCUAAAACAGAGACUUCCUUGCGGAGAGGUCCAUCUUUAGAGACUCCAGCUGGAUUCAUGUACGAUACUUAUGGUUCUACUUCCUGUCACUAUUCAGAAAAAAUUUUCUCUUGAAGAACUCACAAAGAACCAAAAUUGCAAUGGCCAAAGUAGGGUACUUUGAAAUGCCUAAACGAAUUUAUUUGUGUGCUCAAUUAGAAAAAUCUGGUUCCAGCUGGGCACGGUGGCUCACGCCUGUAAUCCCUGCA